rnacentral:lncRNA from 1 species
AGCUGGAGACUUAGGGAGGAGACGUCUUGUUCUGGUCUGAGGGUCGUGGAGCUGCAGACCCAGGGAGGAGCAAUUUUGUUGUAGUUCGAGGGUCAGGAAGCUGGCGACCCAGGGAGGAGAGGUCUUGUUCUGGUCUGAGGGUCAUGGACCUGCAGACCCAGGGAGGAGCAGUCUUGUUCUAGUUUGAGGGUCGUGGAGCUGCAGACCCAGGGAGGAGCCAUGUUGGUUUGAAUGUUGUGGAUCUG